rnacentral:rRNA from 1 species
UGGGGAAUAUUGGACAAUGGGGGGAACCCUGAUCCAGCCAUGCCGCGUGUGUGAAGAAGGCCUUAUGGUUGUAAAGCACUUUAAGCGAGGAGGAGGGUACUGGUAUUAAUACUACCAGGUACUGGACGUUACUCGCAGAAUAAGCACCGGCUAACUCUGUGCCAGCAGCCGCGGUAAUACAGAGGGUGCGAGCGUUAAUCGGAUUUACUGGGCGUAAAGCGUGCGUAGGCGGCUAAUUGAGUCGGAUGUGAAAUCCCCGAGCUUAACUUGGGAAUUGCAUUCGAUACUGGUUAGCUAGAGUGUUGGAGAGGAUGGUAGACUUCCAGGUGUAGCGGUGAAAUGCGUAGAGAUCUGGAGGAAUACCGAUGGCGAAGGCAGCCAUCUGGCCUAACACUGACGCUGAGGUGCGAAAGCAUGGGGAGCAAACAGG